ACAACCACGUGACCUCUGGUUGGCACACAAACUAAAGAAGAGGUUAUGUUUGUAUCUAUUUUUCAAUGAUUUUUCAUUGUUUAUCGUCGUAUUUUGGAUUCAUUUGGAUUUCGUUUCCUGUUUUUGUGAACUUUAUAAACUUUACCACAAUGCGAACUGAUUAUUUAAGGAAAUUAUUAUUGGAAACUCCAGAUGUUGCGAGAAAGAUAUUUAUUGAAGCUGAAAAUAAUUGGGGAUUUAGAUCCAUACGGAAUUCAGUCAGAAUUGGAUUUUACAGUAAAGUGCAGUCCAUCAAGUUACUAUUAUAGAUAUGUAUUUAUACAGAUCUGGUGGAGUCUCACAGUUGCUACUCUAAGCAGCAGAUGAAAGCAUACAAAAGCCUUCAGGCACAUAAAUAUUUUACAGCUGGAUUUGUUUUGAAUGGAGUAAAAAUUGUUAAUGAUUUCCUGAUUUCCAUAUUAUUGUUGGAAAGGUGAAGCAUUUCCAAAAAGCUAAUGCUAAACGACUAAAUGCUUGGGUGGGGUGAUAGCCAGUUCUGAUGACAUAGCAAAUGCACAUUGUAUGCGUAUGGCCGGUAAUAGUGAAGUCUGCAGCCAUAUUGCAGCAAUCCUAUUUUUAGCUGAGUAUGCCCAGAGCAAGACAGACGAAGAAGAACCCAAUGCAUGUACAUAUGUUACAGCUACAUGGUUUGGAGAUAGCAACAUAUGCAUUCUCUGAUGAAAAACUAAUGAGUUUUGAAACUGUUCGGUCAGAGUGCUUGUUGCGCUCACUAAACGAACUGAAAUAUAAGAAGUCUUUGGCAUUGUGUUGCAGCGAUAUGAAAAUGGUUAUUCAUUUUUAAUUAUAAUCACAAACCAUACAUACUCAUAGACGUUUCACGUAAAUUGUCAAGGUCAAGACAGCAAAUUAGUUACCAUUCCAAUCCAGAGAUGCCGCUGUCAGUCAAUUUUCUUGUCAUAUUUAACAACUGACAGUUGACAAUUAAAUUAAUUUGUUAUUUACUUUUUAUUUUACAGUUUGUGGCUUAAUUAUUUUAUUAUAGUGGUGUUACGUUUUUAAUUAGAUUUAAUCACAAUUUUAAUCAAUUGUAUUAACCUCCUCUCCGUUUUUAUGAGUAGCAUUUUUAGUUUACAUUGAUCAUCCCGUGUUGUGUUUCUCCACAUUUAAAAAAACAAUAAAUAGAUCCUGAAACAGUUUAUUCCAAUAGACAAGUGUGUCAUCAACAUUUCGGGCCUAUAUAUUUUUGGAAGUUUGUAAAAGAUUAUAAGGUAAUAUUUAUCUAAACAAUCAUCCUACAAAAGAUUCUUUCAAAAAAUUUUAUUCAACUCAAUAUUACACAUCAGUGAUUUUACGUGACACAUGGCAGUAGUGUUUAGCAUUUUGAAAACAAAUUGGAAUAUUUGAAGUUUUCAGUAAAAUAUUGAAUAAAUCAUUGAAUUGUCUUUCUGUUGUUUUAAUUUCCUGCGAAAUUUCAUCAAAAAUCCCGCAAAAUUUAUAAUUUGAAAUUCCUACGUAACCAAAAUUUGUCAAUUUAGUUCCCAUUCCAAUCAAGAGAUGGCGUUAAUUCGAUCCAAAAGAUUAACAUGGUCGUGAAACGUCUAUAGUAUGUAUGGUUUGUGAUUAUAAUGUACUUCAUCAUGAGUAAUUAUGUAUUGGUCUUUUAGAUGUGUAUUUAUUUUUGUAAUUAGUAUCAACUUGUAAUGAUAAUAUACAUUUAUCGUUUAAGGUACGACUAUGUUUUGACUCUAAAAUAAAUGUUUUAAAAAUCGAA